AUUGAACGCUGGCGGCAGGCCUAACACAUGCAAGUCGAGCGAGCGGCGGACGGGUGAGUAAUGUCUGGGAAACUGCCUGAUGGAGGGGGAUAACUACUGGAAACGGUAGCUAAUACCGCAUACCAUCAGAUGUGCCCAGAUGGGAUUAGCUAGUAGGUGGGGUAACGGCUCACCUAGGCGACGAUCCCUCGCUGGUCCGAGGUGAUGACCAGCCGAACGGGAACUGGGACACGGGCAGGACGCCUACGGGAGGAAGCGGGGGGGAAGAGGGGACAAUGGGCGCAAGCGUGAUGCAGCCAUGCAGCGUGUGUGAGGGAGGCCUGCGGGUUGUAGGGUAGUUUCAGCGGGGAGGCGUUACCCGCAGAAGAAGCACCGGCUAACUCCGUGCCAGCAGCCGCGGUAAUAC
rnacentral:rRNA from 1 species